rnacentral:rRNA from 1 species
GUAGGUGGCAAGCGUUGUCCGGAAUUAUUGGGCGUAAAGCGCGCGCAGGCGGUUCUUUAAGUCUGAUGUGAAAGCCCACGGCUCAACCGUGGAGGGUCAUUGGAAACUGGAGAACUUGAGUACAGAAGAGGAAAGCGGAAUUCCACGUGUAGCGGUGAAAUGCGUAGAGAUGUGGAGGAACACCAGUGGCGAAGGCGGCUUUCUGGUCUGUAACUGACGCUGAGGCGCGAAAGCGUGGGGAGCAAACAGGGAUUAGAUACCCUGGUAGUCCACGCCGUAAACGAUGAGUGCUAAGUGUUAGGGGGUUUCCGCCCCCUUAGUGCUGCAGCUAACGCAUUAAGCACUCCGCCCUGGGGAGUACGGCCGGCAAGGCUG